rnacentral:lncRNA from 1 species
GUGACAUCGAGCUACAUUAGAAUCUGCCCAAUAUAACUGUCUGCAGAAGCCACUUUGCAGAUCUUCAGUGCAGACAUGUGCGCUUUGGCCCAACUUGAAUUGAUCUUGCAGAGCUGGUUACUGUAGCACUGGUUCUUUGGGAGUACAGUUGGAUGGCAGUUUCAUCCAAUAAAGGGUGAGAGAGAGAAACUAAAAGGGCAGUAAAAGAUGCAAAUAAGACAGUGCCAUAUAUAAAUAUUUUUUCUAAAAGACCAGACAGGGUGUUGAGGAAUUCCUACGUAAAUGUACUUGGUUGUCCUUUUGUUUGCCCACUUCUGAAAACUGUGCUUUUACUGAUACAAAUAAGUCUGUGUAAGGGACAGUUCAUGGUUCCAUGCCUUGAGCAAUAUCUCACAGAUGGCAUCUUAAGAGAAGGCAAUAGACCUUUGCUGAUACUGGCUGACCCUGCCAUACCAUGAAAAAGAGCAUGCAAAAAUUCUGCCUGCUCCACGCAUCUCCUCACCCUCUACAAGAAGAUAUGUGAGGAUGCCCCAAGGGGCCAAACCCUACAGUAAGAAAUAUGAGUUCCAAAGCCAGCACAGCUCUUAUUAUCUCUCUCACUUUUUCACUUGGUUCUUCUUCUUAUUUUUUUUAAUGCAGUUCUGUAGCUGCAAUCAGGCAGAGUCUUUCAGUUAAGAAAUAAAUUCACUCAGAUUUUUUUCUUUUUGUGCGUAGUGGGACAAACUUUCUCAAGAAGCAUUUUGAAUUGCCUUGUUGCCAUUCAUGAAUCUUCUGAAAUGUCUGCCGAAUGCCUGACACUGAAGUGAUAUAAGACCUGCAUUAGAAGAGCUUCAUCUGAGUGUAAUAUGCUGCCCUGGGAGGGUGAGUGCUCAAUGAGGAUUCUGAAGGAUUAAGGUCUUCAUGUGUGGUGCAAACAUUUGAAGCAAAUGCAACAGAAUUGCCCCGAGUCUGCUCAAGAGCCCAUCGCUGCUUCCUAUGUGGUCACACUACAAAGUCAAACUAAUAAUAAUGUAUGGUUGGUUACCCUUCUGAAAAUAACUGCAAGUAUUGAGUGCUGUCAUCAUGGAGAACCCAGACCUCCUGAAGUAAGAGGGAAAAUUGAAUUGACUCGCAGGAGGCCAGAAUGCCACCCACAGAGGUGCUUGAUUGCCAGAAAAUGCUGAGUUCCUGCUACCUGGAAUCAUUGGUGUCUGAUAUCCAGCAUCGUACUGAAAGGUAAGACAUGGAAAUCACCAGUGCAGACUGAAAAAGUCAGAUCCUCAGCUCAUGCAGAAUGAUGUCACUCUGAGAGCAAUUAUACAAUGGUGAUAUGUGCUAACAGAAGAACUAGAAACAUGUUUUUGCAUGUACAAUACACAUGUUGUUUUCAUCGCAGCUAGUGCUGUACCUCUGAGGAAACAC